CAGCCGCCGCGGGAAUACGUAGGGUGCAAGCGUUAAUCGGAAUUACUGGGCGUAAAGCGUGCGCAGGCGGUUCGUUAAGACAGAUGUGAAAUCCCCGGGCUUAACCUGGGAACUGCAUUUGUGACUGGCGGGCUAGAGUAUGGCAGAGGGGGGUAGAAUUCCACGUGUAGCAGUGAAAUGCGUAGAGAUGUGGAGGAAUACCGAUGGCGAAGGCAGCCCCCUGGGCCAAUACUGACGCUCAUGCACGAAAGCGUGGGGAGCAAACAGGAUUAGAUACCCCAGUAGUCCCUGUCUCUUAUAC
rnacentral:rRNA from 1 species